GUGCUUGCUUCAGCACCACAUAUACUAAAUUGGAAUGAUACAGAGAAGAUUAGCGUAACCCCUAUGCAAAAUGUUUCUUAAAUCUUAUUGAUUUAUAUAUCUGAUUUUU
rnacentral:snRNA from 1 species